AGAGUUUGAUCAUGGCUCAGAACGUACGCUGGCGGCACGCCUAACACAUGCAAGUCGAACGAAGUAGCAAUACUUAGUGGCAGACGGGUGAGUAACAUGUGGGUAUCUGCCCUUUGGCCUGGAAUAACACGAGGAAACUUGUGCUAAUACCGGAUAAGUCUUUACGGAGAAAGCUUUAUGCACCAUUGGAUGAGCCUGCACUUGAUUAGUUUGUUGGUGGGGUAAUGGCCUACCAAGACUGUGAUCAAUAGCUGAUUUGAGAGGAUGAUCAGCCACAUUGGGACUGAGACACGGCCCAAACUCCUACGGGAGGCAGCAGUGGGGAAUCUUGCACAAUGGAGGAAACUCUGAUGCAGCGAUGCCGCGUGAGUGAAGAAGGCCCUUGGGUUGUAAAGCUCUUUCGUCGGGGAAGAAAAUGACUGUACCCGAAUAAGAAGGUCCGGCUAACUUCGUGCCAGCAGCCGCGGUAAUACGAAGGGACCUAGCGUAGUUCGGAAUUACUGGGCUUAAAGAGUUCGUAGGUGGUUGAAAAAGUUAGUGGUGAAAUCCCAGAGCUUAACUCUGGAACUGCCAUUAAAACUUUUCAGCUAGAGUAUGAUAGAGGAAAGCAGAAUUUCUAGUGUAGAGGUGAAAUUCGUAGAUAUUAGAAAGAAUACCAAUUGCGAAGGCAGCUUUCUGGAUCAUUACUGACACUGAGGAACGAAAGCAUGGGUAGCGAAGAGGAUUAGAUACCCUCGUAGUCCAUGCCGUAAACGAUGUGUGUUAGACGUUGGAAAUUUAUUUUCAGUGUCGCAGGGAAACCGAUAAACACACCGCCUGGGGAGUACGACCGCAAGGUUAAAACUCAAAUGAAUUGACGGGGACCCGCACAAGCAGUGGAGCAUGUGGUUUAAUUCGAAGAUACGCGCAGAACCUUACCAACACUUGACAUGUUCGUCGCGACUCUAAGAGAUUAGAGUUUUCGGUUCGGCCGGACGAAACACAGGUGCUGCAUGGCUGUCGUCAGCUCGUGUCGUGAGAUGUUGGGUUAAGUCCCGCAACGAGCGCAACCCCUACUUUUAGUUGCCACCAUUUAGUUGGGCACUUUAAAAGAACUGCCAGUGAUAAGCUGGAGGAAGGUGGGGAUGACGUCAAGUCCUCAUGGCCCUUACGUGUUGGGCUACACACGUGCUACAAUGGUAUCUACAACAGGAAGCAAGACUGCGAAGUUAAGCAAAUCCCUAAAAGAUACCUCAGUUCGGAUUGCACUCUGCAACUCGAGUGCAUGAAGCUGGAAUUACUAGUAAUCGUGGAUCAGCGUGCCACGGUGAAUGCGUUCCCGGGUCUUGUACACACCGCCCGUCACACCAUGGGAGUUGGUUCUACCUUAAGGCAAGGUUUUAAACCCUUGACCACGGUAUAGUCAGCGACUGGGGUGAAGUCGUAACAAGGUAGCCGUAGGGGAACCUGCGGCUG
rnacentral:rRNA from 1 species